rnacentral:snoRNA from 1 species
AACGCUAAUUCAACAGCCAUUCGCAACGUUAAAAGCAUCUCAGCGAGGUUGAACCCAUUUGGCGUUCUGACCCAUGACUCAUGCGGAUAUUGUUGCUUCAACAUGCUUGGACUGGAGAUUAAAAUUUACUGAUCUUGGGUGCAACGGCUCAUCUGUCGUCUGUUUUAUACAGAUCUAAGGGUUAACCUUCGUGUUCCCGUAUGGGAGUUGUUGCAAGGAUCGCUAAGACAUAU